AGGACGAACGCUGGCGGCGUGCUUAACACAUGCAAGUCGAGCGGAAAGGCCCUUCGGGGUACUCGAGCGGCGAACGGGUGAGUAACACGUGAGCAACCUGCCCCUGGCUCUGGGAUAGCUCCGGGAAAACCGGGAUUAAUACCGGAUAUGACCCCCUUCUGCAUGGUGGGGGGUGGAAAGUUUUUCGGCUGGGGAGUGGCUCGCGGCCUAGUCAGCUUGGUUGGUGGGUGAUGGCCUACCAAGGCGGUGACGGUA
rnacentral:rRNA from 1 species